GGAGACGUACCGAAGUGGUCGUAACGGGGCUGACUCGAAAUCAGCUUGACGAGCAAUCGUCACGUGAGUUCGAAUCUCACCGUCUCCG
rnacentral:tRNA from 2 species